AUACAAAUAUGAGAGUAUACAUAUGGGAGAAGUUGCACAAAUAAACAAUGCUCUAUACGUUAGAAGAAUUUUGUUCUUUGAAAAGAUCGAACUUUCAAGUAAUCUUUUACGUGUGCUCUAAUGGUUGUUUGACCCUACAGUUAUUCUUGUGCCCUCUCCUCCAGUCUUAUACCCUCUGCACAGAUGUUACAUUAGGUGAAGCGACUGGUUUAAUUUUCGAUUCAAAAAAUUUCUUCCUCCUCUUUUGCGUGUUGUAGCAGUGUUUAGAAAUGAGCUAGGAGAUGUAUUCUUGUUCAAGAGGAAAGAGGAAACAUGUCUUGUGCUUCAGGCUGACACAUUUGCUUGAGAUUAGAAACGCUCCUUGCAUUAGAACAAACCGUGAACAUAGAUAUGUAUUUCCUAUAUCGGUUUUCUCAAAAUUGAGGAGAUUGUUCACAUAUACAAGUAGGAAGUUGACAUUAAAAGGAAUUGGAAGGUUUGAAGCCCACUUGGAGUACAUUUUUAUUUGAGAAUGAAUAUCUGCAUUUUGAUGUUCAAGUAUGUUUACUGAAGCCUAAGCAAUCAUUUACUGUCUGUAUUAUGACAACAGCUGCAUUCAUGCUUGCAGGUAUAGAUAAUCAGUUUGACGA